rnacentral:rRNA from 1 species
GAUGAACGCUGGCGGCGUGCCUAAUACAUGCAAGUCGAGCGAACAGAUGAGGAGCUUGCUCCUCUGACGUUAGCGGCGGACGGGUGAGUAACACGUGGAUAACCUACCUAUAAGACUGGGAUAACUUCGGGAAACCGGAGCUAAUACCGGAUAAUAUAUUGAACCGCAUGGUUCAAUAGUGAAAGACGGUUUUGCUGUCACUUAUAGAUGGAUCCGCGCCGCAUUAGCUAGUUGGUAAGGUAACGGCUUACCAAGGCAACGAUGCGUAGCCGACCUGAGAGGGGGAGCGGCCACACUGGAACUGAAACACGGUCCAGACUCCUACGGGAGGCAGCAGUAGGGAAUCUUCCGCAAUGGGCGGAAGCCUGACGGAGCAACGCCGCGUGAGUGAUGAAGGUCUUCGGAUCGUAAAACUCUGUUAUUAGGGAAGGACAAAUGUGUAAGUAACUAUGCACGUCUUGACGGUACCUAAUCAGAAAGCCACGGCUAACUACGUG